UUAUUAUUCGUAAAACAUAUUAUUCGUUAAUCUUAUUAUUUGUUAAACUUAUUAUUCUUUAAUCUAAUCAUUAGUUAAACUUAUUGUUUGUUAAUCUUAUUAUUCAUUAAACUCAAUAUUCAUAAUAUUUUGUAAAAUCUUGUAUAUACGCGUAAAUAUAAUCUCUGUUUUGUAAAACGAUGGCUAAUUCAAACGAAGAAUCGUUACGCGCCUUAAAUUCUAAUGUUAACCCGACAUGCAUAUAUACAUUAAAUGUAUAUAUGUGCGUAUACUGUAUUAUAAUAUGUAUAUAUAUACGUACACUAUGCUAUAAUAUGUAUAUGUAAAUAUAAGCAAGUGAACUUUAGUUUAACAUUUAGUUUCAAUGAAAUCAGUACCUUUUCGUUUUAUUUGUUUACAUUAAAGAGUGGAAAAAUUAUUGCGUUACAGUAUUUUAGUAUUCAUAACAUUGUGUAAUAUAUGUUAAUGUUGUUACGAUAUAAAAAUAGGAAUUUUUUAUUAAAUUCUUUUUUCCUUUAAUUUACCUCUAAAUAUAAAUAAUAAAUAAUAAUAAAUAAAGAAUAAAGGAGAAUCCGAUGUGAUAUGUACUUUUGUUGAAACCAAACCCAGAAAAAUAAAAAAAUCUAUCUUCUGAAAAUUAAUGUUGCUUUAAGUAAUAAUUUCGUUCGUCUCUCAUUAGUUUCGAAGGAUAUUAUAAAAAUGAUUUGAAGAAUGUAAAGAUAUAUUAUCGGAAUUUUUAAAUAAAAAACACAUGUAUCUUUAUAAAUAAAUUAAUACAUAUAAGUAAAAUAAAUAAAUAACAAUAAAAUAAAAUAAAGUUAUAAAUAAAUCGAUAAGUAAGUUACUUCUUCAGCGAAUAAAUUUUAUAUGAGAUUGAUUUUUCUUAAAUUUUUGAAGAAGAGAAAUCACUUUGAUCUUUUAUUCCAAAGCGAACGUAAACAUCAUCGCUAAAUGAAAAUAUUGGUACGUUCACUUGAUGUUGGGACAUCGUUGCAGUAACAGUAACGUAAAAGUAUGCACAAUAAUAUUUAAAAUGAAUACCAGAAAGCCUGAAAAAAAAGUGUAAAAGAGAAAUAAUAUUCCGAUUACAUGUGGAUGACAAAUCAUAUAACGAGUUUGCCGGAAUUGUGAACAGAAAUUUGCGACAGUGGGCUUGGGCUCGAGGUGACGCAACUGGUCGCCGAACGUAGCCACGGUCACGGGAUGAACGUUUUUACUUAACAGAAGAAGUACCAAUAUCGAGGGACACGCGCUGUAUUAACAAACAAGCCCCGGGCAGGAGCAAUGACGGCUCUACGCGGAUCUGCCUAGUAACGGCGCCUGGAAUUUUGUCGAUAUCCCCGGUCAAUACGCAAUUGACAAAUGCGAUCGUAUCAGUCUUUUAUUCUUGUGAUCACCUUGGAGAGUUUACACGCAUCGUCUUGUCAGUCAGUCAGAAAGAUACCGAGCGUCACAGCUAACGUCACUUUGCGUUUCAAAAUAUAUUCUAUUGUACAAAGAGUUUUCUCCGUUGACCGUGGAUUCGUUAUUGAACCUAAGAACAUUGUCUUUGACAUCAAGAGUGUCCAAUCACCACGUUUAAUUGUCAAACUCUGUUAAAUCAACAUUUGUACUUAUAAUUGUAAAUGUAAUCUCCAUUGAACAACAACGAUGGCUUGUCUUAAUGAAAAUACCUUACACGCCUCUAAGUCUAACGCCAAACCGACCAACCCGACAUAUUAAUGCGAACCAUGUCAUCUUCUCGGACGAGUCAAAGUUUAACAUUUUUGGCUCAGAUGGUCAAAAUUUUGUGUGGAGAAAACCAAAUACGAAAUUGGAGAUUCGACAUUUACAUCAAACAGUGAAACACGGAGGUGGAUAGGUCAUGAUGUGGGGGUGCAUGGCUGCCAGUGGCACCGGAAAUUUGAUAUGGAUUAUUGGAAGGUUUCCACUUCCAACAAGAUAAUGAUCCCAAGCAUACUGCUAGAAUUGUGAAAAAAUAGAUCGUAUCUAACACACCACACAUGUUAAUUACUGCACCGCAAAGUCCAGACGUAAAUCCGAUUGAAAAUUUAUGGCCUGAAAUCGGAAAAAGAUUAAACAAAUUUCAGAUAAUCUCAAAGCAAGUAUCGAAAGAUAAAAUUAUCGAAAUAUGGAACUCCGUUGAGUGUAGUUUUACAAAAUCAUUGGUUUACAGUAUGGAACGUCGAUUGAGACACACUAUUGCUGCUAAAGGUGGUUCAACAAGAUAUUAAUAUUAAAUAAAUUAAUAAUAUAUGUAGCGUUCAAAUAUUUUUGUGAGUCACUUACAAUGCGUGUUUCUAAUUAAUGUAUCGUAACUCCUACCUACGUUGUUGAAUCCUUUUCAAAUUUUACUGACGUAAUCUUAAGACUUUCAUCUUCCUAUUGACAUCUGCUUGACAAAGCAAAUUACUCUAAUGUACAUUAUU